rnacentral:rRNA from 1 species
GGGUUGUGAGGUUAAGCGACUAAGCGUACACGGUGGAUGCCCUGGCAGUCAGAGGCGAUGAAGGACGUGCUAAUCUGCGAUAAGCGUCGGUAAGGUGAUAUGAACCGUUAUAACCGGCGAUUUCCGAAUGGGGAAACCCAGUGUGAUUCGUCACACUAUCAUUAACUGAAUCCAUAGGUUAAUGAGGCGAACCGGGGGAACUGAAACAUCUAAGUACCCCGAGGAAAAGAAAUCAACCGAGAUUCCCCCAGUAGCGGCGAGCGAACGGGGAGCAGCCCAGAGCCUGAAUCAGUGUGUGUGUUAGUGGAAGCGUCUGGAAAGGCGCGCGAUACAGGGUGACAGCCCCGUACACAAAAAUGCACAUGCUGUGAGCUCGAUGAGUAGGGCGGGACACGUGGUAUCCUGUCUGAAUAUGGGGGGACCAUCCUCCAAGGCUAAAUACUCCUGACUGACCGAUAGUGAACCAGUACCGUGAGGGAAAGGCGAAAAGAACCCCGGCGAGGGGAGUGAAAAAGAACCUGAAACCGUGUACGUACAAGCAGUGGGAGCACGCUUAGGCGUGUGACUGCGUACCUUUUGUAUAAUGGGUCAGCGACUUAUAUUCUGUAGCAAGGUUAACCGAAUAGGGGAGCCGAAGGGAAACCGAGUCUUAACUGGGCGUUAAGUUGCAGGGUAUAGACCCGAAACCCGGUGAUCUAGCCAUGGGCAGGUUGAAGGUUGGGUAACACUAACUGGAGGACCGAACCGACUAAUGUUGAAAAAUUAGCGGAUGACUUGUGGCUGGGGGUGAAAGGCCAAUCAAACCGGGAGAUAGCUGGUUCUCCCCGAAAGCUAUUUAGGUAGCGCCUCGUGAAUUCAUCUCCGGGGGUAGAGCACUGUUUCGGCAAGGGGGUCAUCCCGACUUACCAACCCGAUGCAAACUGCGAAUACCGGAGAAUGUUAUCACGGGAGACACACGGCGGGUGCUAACGUCCGUCGUGAAGAGGGAAACAACCCAGACCGCCAGCUAAGGUCCCAAAGUCAUGGUUAAGUGGGAAACGAUGUGGGAAGGCCCAGACAGCCAGGAUGUUGGCUUAGAAGCAGCCAUCAUUUAAAGAAAGCGUAAUAGCUCACUGGUCGAGUCGGCCUGCGCGGAAGAUGUAACGGGGCUAAACCAUGCACCGAAGCUGCGGCAGCGACGCUGAUGCGUUGUUGGGUAGGGGAGCGUUCUGUAAGCCUGUGAAGGUGUGCUGUGAGGCAUGCUGGAGGUAUCAGAAGUGCGAAUGCUGACAUAAGUAACGAUAAAGCGGGUGAAAAGCCCGCUCGCCGGAAGACCAAGGGUUCCUGUCCAACGUUAAUCGGGGCAGGGUGAGUCGACCCCUAAGGCGAGGCCGAAAGGCGUAGUCGAUGGGAAACAGGUUAAUAUUCCUGUACUUGGUGUUACUGCGAAGGGGGGACGGAGAAGGCUAUGUUGGCCGGGCGACGGUUGUCCCGGUUUAAGCGUGUAGGCUGGUUUUCCAGGCAAAUCCGGAAAAUCAAGGCUGAGGCGUGAUGACGAGGCACUACGGUGCUGAAGCAACAAAUGCCCUGCUUCCAGGAAAAGCCUCUAAGCAUCAGGUAACAUCAAAUCGUACCCCAAACCGACACAGGUGGUCAGGUAGAGAAUACCAAGGCGCUUGAGAGAACUCGGGUGAAGGAACUAGGCAAAAUGGUGCCGUAACUUCGGGAGAAGGCACGCUGAUAUGUAGGUGAAGUCCCUCGCGGAUGGAGCUGAAAUCAGUCGAAGAUACCAGCUGGCUGCAACUGUUUAUUAAAAACACAGCACUGUGCAAACACGAAAGUGGACGUAUACGGUGUGACGCCUGCCCGGUGCCGGAAGGUUAAUUGAUGGGGUCAGCGCAAGCGAAGCUCUUGAUCGAAGCCCCGGUAAACGGCGGCCGUAACUAUAACGGUCCUAAGGUAGCGAAAUUCCUUGUCGGGUAAGUUCCGACCUGCACGAAUGGCGUAAUGAUGGCCAGGCUGUCUCCACCCGAGACUCAGUGAAAUUGAACUCGCUGUGAAGAUGCAGUGUACCCGCGGCAAGACGGAAAGACCCCGUGAACCUUUACUAUAGCUUGACACUGAACAUUGAGCCUUGAUGUGUAGGAUAGGUGGGAGGCUUAGAAGUGUGGACGCCAGUCUGCAUGGAGCCGACCUUGAAAUACCACCCUUUAAUGUUUGAUGUUCUAACGUUGACCCGUAAUCCGGGUUGCGGACAGUGUCUGGUGGGUAGUUUGACUGGGGCGGUCUCCUCCUAAAGAGUAACGGAGGAGCACGAAGGUUGGCUAAUCCUGGUCGGACAUCAGGAGGUUAGUGCAAUGGCAUAAGCCAGCUUGACUGCGAGCGUGACGGCGCGAGCAGGUGCGAAAGCAGGUCAUAGUGAUCCGGUGGUUCUGAAUGGAAGGGCCAUCGCUCAACGGAUAAAAGGUACUCCGGGGAUAACAGGCUGAUACCGCCCAAGAGUUCAUAUCGACGGCGGUGUUUGGCACCUCGAUGUCGGCUCAUCACAUCCUGGGGCUGAAGUAGGUCCCAAGGGUAUGGCUGUUCGCCAUUUAAAGUGGUACGCGAGCUGGGUUUAGAACGUCGUGAGACAGUUCGGUCCCUAUCUGCCGUGGGCGCUGGAGAACUGAGGGGGGCUGCUCCUAGUACGAGAGGACCGGAGUGGACGCAUCACUGGUGUUCGGGUUGUCAUGCCAAUGGCACUGCCCGGUAGCUAAAUGCGGAAGAGAUAAGUGCUGAAAGCAUCUAAGCACGAAACUUGCCCCGAGAUGAGUUCUCCCUGACUCCUUGAGAGUCCUGAAGGAACGUUGAAGACGACGACGUUGAUAGGCCGGGUGUGUAAGCGCAGCGAUGCGUUGAGCUAACCGGUACUAAUGAACCGUGAGGCUUAACCUUACAACGCCGAAGCUGUU